rnacentral:snRNA from 1 species
AGCUUUGCGCAGUGGCAGUAUCGUAGCCAAUGAGGUUUAUCCGAGGCGCGAUUAUUGCUAAUUGUAAGUAAGGAGCAAGAUGCUUUGUAUAGACCUCUCAAAAUCAGAUGGAAAUGUCUAAAUGUACAUUAUUUUA